rnacentral:rRNA from 1 species
GACGAACGCUGGCGGCGUGCUUAACACAUGCAAGUCGAACGGGUCUGCCCUGUUUUUUGCGGGGUGGGUCAGUGGCGAACGGGUGAGUAACACGUGAGUAACCUGCCCCUCACUUCUGGAUAACCGCUUGAAAGGGUGGCUAAUACGGGGUGUUCUUGCUGUGCCGCAUGGUGUGGCUGGGAAAGAUUCACUUUUGUGGUGUUUUGGUGGGGGAUGGGCUCGCGGCCUAUCAGCUUGUUGGUGGGGUGAUGGCCUGCCAAGGCUUUGACGGGUAGCCGGCCUGAGAGGGUGGGCGGUCACACUGGGACUGAGAUACGGCCCAGACUCAUGCGGGAGGCAGCAGUGGGGGGUAUUGCACAAUGGGCGGAAGCAUGAGGCAGCGACGUCGCGGGAGGGAUGGAGGCCUUCGGGUUGUGAACCUCUUUCGCCGGUGAAGAAGGUCCUGCUCUUUGUGGUGGGGUUGACGGUAGCCGGGUUAUGAAGCGCCGGCUAACUACGUG